UUUUCUUGGCACUAGAUUAGUUUACGUGCAAUUUGCUUAGCUUAAACGAAUAGGAAGUGGAUUAUUGAGAAAAUAACAUAUAUAGCAGAUAGGAGGAUCACAGUUCAGUCCAAGACAAAAGCUCAAACAUAGUUUGGAAUCUUGAGCAUAUAGCAAGGUAUUGAAAGACUACCGUACGAGACCGCUUUCCGGACGUAACGGACUAGACGAAGACACUAAAC